GACGAACGCUGGCGGCGUGCCUAAUACAUGCAAGUCGAACGCAGUGGGGACGGGUGAGUAACACGUGGGUAACCUCCCAUCAGAGGGGAUAACACUUGGAAACAGGUGCUAAACCGAUACUGAUGGAUGGACCCUCGGUGCAUUAGCUAGUUGGUGAGGUAACGGCUCACAAAGGCCACGAUGCAUAGACGAGCUGAGAGGGGGACAGGCCACACUGGGACUGAGACACGGCCCAGACUCGUACGGGAGGCAGCAGUGGGGAAUCUUCGGCAAUGGACGAAAGUCUGACCGAGCAACGCCGCGUGAGUGAAGAAGGUUUUCGGAUCGUAAAGGUCUGUUGUUAGAGAAGCGGUAAGUAAGGAGAAAGCCACGGCUAACUACGUGCCAGCAGCCGCGGUAAGAG
rnacentral:rRNA from 1 species